UACGUAGGGUGCGAGCGUUAAUCGGAAUUACUGGGCGUAAAGCGUGCGCAGGCGGUGGCUCAAGCCAGGCGUGAAAUCCCCAGGCUCAACUUGGGAACUGCGUCUGAUACUGGAUGGCUUGAAUUCGGGAGAGGGAUGCAGAAUUCCAGGUGUAGCGGUGAAAUGCGUAGAUAUCUGGAGGAAUACCGGUGGCGAAGGCGGCAUCCUGGACCGAGAUUGACACUGAUGAGCGAAAGCUAGGGGAGCAAACGGG
rnacentral:rRNA from 1 species